rnacentral:rRNA from 1 species
UACGGAGGGUGCAAGCAUUAAUCGGAUUUAUUGGGUGUAAAGAGCAUGUAGGCGGACAAGCAAGUCAGAUGUGAAAUUUCGGAGCUCAACUUCGAAGCUGCAUUUGAAACUACUUGUCUUGAGGGUAGACGGAGAAAACGGAAUUCCAAGUGUAGCGGUGAAAUGCGUAGAUAUUUGGAAGAACACCGGUGGCGAAAGCGGUUUUCUAGUUUAUUCCUGACGCUGAGAUGCGAGAGCAAGGGUAGCAAACAGGAUUAGAUACCCUGGUAGUCCUUGCCGUAAACGAUGCAUACUUGGUGUAGUUGGACUCAACCCCGACUGUGCCGUAGCUAACGCGUUAAGUAUGCCACCUGGGGAGUACGCCCGCAAGGGUGAAACUCAAAAGAAUUGACGGGGGCCCGCACAAGCAGUGGAGCAUGUGGUUUAAUUCGAUGCAACGCGAAGAACCUUACCCAGGCUUGACAUAUAGAGGACCGCUCUAGAGAUAGAGUUUCCCGCAAGGGCCUUUAUACAGGUGCUGCAUGGCUGUCGUCAGCUCGUGCCGUGAGGUGUUGGGUUAAGUCCCGCAACGAGCGCAACCCUUGUCGUUAGUUACCAGCAUGUAAUGGUGGGGACUCUAACGAGACUGCCUAGGUUAACUAGGAGGAAGGUGAGGAUGACGUCAAGUCCGCAUGGCCUUUAUGUCUGGGGCUACACACGUGCUACAAUGGUCGGUACAGAAGGCAGCGAAGCCGAAAGGUGGAGCAAAUCCCAAAAACCGAUCUCAGUUCGGAUAGAAGUCUGCAACUCGACUUCUUGAAGUUGGAAUUGCUAGUAAUGACGUGUCAGCAAUAACGUCGUGAAUACGUUCACGGGCCU